UUUGUCAGUGGGCUGCCUGGUGACUAAGAGAUUGGAUAUGCGCAUUCACGUGAGAACGCAGUUUUUUCUUUUCCUCUUUGAAUGAAUACACUAUUGUCCGGUUGGAAUAUUAUCGCUACUUUACGAGAAAAAUACCAUAAAAAAUUGAUUUUAAACAGCAUUUGACAUGCUUCUAAGUACGGUAAUGGAACAUUUAGAAUUUUUUUGUCUCGAAAUGUGCUGCGCGUUACCCUUUGGAUAGUGACCUGAACGCACGAACAAAACGGAGGUAUUUGGACAUAACUAUCGAUUAUUUGGAACAAAAACAACAUUUGUUGUGGAAGUAGCAGUCCUGGGAGUGCAUUCUGACAAAGAUCAGCAAAGGAGUGUCAUCUGAUGAAACUCGUCAAAGGGCUGGGGCUGGAGCAGGGACUGGGGCUGGAGCAGGGAAUGGGACUGGAGCAGGGACUGGGGCUGGAGCAGGGAAUGGGGCUGGAGCUGGGACUGGAGCAGGGACUGGGACUGGAGCAGGGACUGGAGCUGGAGCAGGGACUGGGACUGGAGCAGGGACUGGAGCUGGAGCAGGGACUGGGACUGGAGCAAGGAAUGGGACUGGGACUGGGGCUGGGGCUGGGACUGGGGCUGGGGCUGGGACUGGGACUGGAGCAGGGAAUGGGACUGGGGCUGGAGCAGGGACUGGGGCUGGAGCAGGGACUGGGGCUGGAGCAGGGGCUGGGACUGGGACUGGAGCAGGGGCUGG
rnacentral:lncRNA from 1 species